GAUGAACGCUGGCGGCGUGCUUAACACAUGCAAGUCGAACGAAGCACUUGAAUGGAAUUCUUCGGAAGGAAGCUCAAGUGACUGAGUGGCGGACGGGUGAGUAACGCGUGGGUAACCUGCCUCAUACAGGGGGAUAACAGUUAGAAAUGACUGCUAAUACCGCAUAAGCACACGUGAUCGCAUGAUCGAGUGUGAAAAACUCCGGUGGUAUGAGAUGGACCCGCGUCUGAUUAGCUAGUUGGUGGGGUAACGGCCCACCAAGGCGACGAUCAGUAGCCGGCCUGAGAGGGUGAACGGCCACAUUGGGACUGAGACACGGCCCAAACUCCUACGGGAGGCAGCAGUGGGGAAUAUUGCACAAUGGGGGAAACCCUGAUGCAGCGACGCCGCGUGAAGGAUGAAGUAUUUCGGUAUGUAAACUUCUAUCAGCAGGGAAGAAAAUGACGGUAC
rnacentral:rRNA from 1 species